AGUCAACCUAACCUAUGGACGGGGAUAACCUCGGGAAACUGAGAAUAAUACCCGAUAGGUCAUGAUGCCUGGAAUGGUUUAUGACUCAAAUAAUUUAUUGCCGUAGGAUGGGACUGCGAGCUAUCAGCUUGUUGGUGAGGUAAUGGCCCACCAAGGCUAUUACAGCUACGGGCUCUGAGAGGAGUAGCCCGGAGAUGGGUACUGAGACAAGGACCCAGGCCCUAUGGGGCGCAGCAGGCGAGAAAACUUUGCAAUGCGCGAAAGCUCGACAAGGUUAAUCUGAGUGGUUCCUGCUAAAGGAACCUUUUGUUAGUCGUAGAACCACUGAUGAAUAAGGGGUGGGCAAGUUCUGGUGUCAGCCGCCGCGGUAAAACCAGCACCUCAAGUGGUCAGGAUGAUUAUUGGGCCUAAAGCAUCCGUAGCCUGUUCUGUAAGUUUUCGGUUAAAUCUAUGCGCUCAACGUAUAGGCUGCCGAAAAUACUGCAGAACUAGGGAGUGGGAGAGGUAGACGGUAUUCGGUAGGAAGGGGUAAAAUCCUUUGAUCUAUUGAUGACCACCUGUGGCGAAGGCGGUCUACCAGAACACGUUCGACGGUGAGGGAUGAAAGCUGGGGGAGCAAACCGGAUUAGAUACCCGGGUAGUCCCAGCUGUAAACGAUGCAAACUCGAUGAUGCGUUGGCUUAUUGCUAGCGCAGUGUCGCAGGGAAGCCGUUAAGUUUGCCGCCUGGGAAGUACGUACGCAAGUAUGAAACUUA
rnacentral:rRNA from 1 species